UGCAAGUCGAACGGCAGCGGGGGAAGCUUGCUUUCCUGCCGGCGAGUGGCGAACGGGUGAGUAAUACAUCGGAACGUGCCCUGUAGUGGGGGAUAACUAGUCGAAAGAUUAGCUAAUACCGCAUACGACCUGAGGGUGAAAGUGGGGGACCGCAAGGCCUCAUGCUAUAGGAGCGGCCGAUGUCUGAUUAGCUAGUUGGUGGGGUAAAGGCCUACCAAGGCGACGAUCAGUAGCUGGUCUGAGAGGACGAUCAGCCACACUGGGACUGAGACACGGCCCAGACUCCUACGGGAGGCAGCAGUGGGGAAUUUUGGACAAUGGGCGAAAGCCUGAUCCAGCAAUGCCGCGUGUGUGAAGAAGGCCUUCGGGUUGUAAAGCACUUUUGUCCGGAAAGAAAUGGCUCUGGUUAAUACCCGGAGUUGAUGACGGUACCGGAAGAAUAAGGACCGGCUAACUACGUGCCAGCAGCCGCGGUAAUACGUAGGGUCCAAGCGUUAAUCGGAAUUACUGGGCGUAAAGCGUGCGCAGGCGGUUGUGCAAGACCGAUGUGAAAUCCCCGGGCUUAACCUGGGAAUUGCAUUGGUGACUGCACGGCUAGAGUGUGUCAGAGGGAGGUAGAAUUCCACGUGUAGCAGUGAAAUGCGUAGAGAUGUGGAGGAAUACCGAUGGCGAAGGCAGCCUCCUGGGAUAACACUGACGCUCAUGCACGAAAGCGUGGGGAGCAAACAGGAUUAGAUA
rnacentral:rRNA from 1 species